rnacentral:lncRNA from 11 species
AGAAGCUUAUACGACGACGACUGACCGUGGCGCGCCCUGGUGAUGUGUUUUGUAAACGAGAGCCGGCAUCUAUUCUACUGGCGAAAGCCAUAGGUCGCGGACUUGUUAUUCGGUGCCGAUUUCUUCUCGAUUUCCUUUUUUUAUCAAAAUCAAUCUAUGACUGGAUGGUGUGUCGAUCUUCAAUUAUUGAUUCGUCGUUAAGAAUUUUACUAGGAAAUCCUAUCAUUCUAUCUUCGAAUGCAUUCUCGGUGUAUGGGAUAACAAUUUUCGGAGUUUUAGGUUUCGUGAUAUUUCAAAUCGCUGAAAUUGGAAAGUAAUUUGACGUAAGAAAGUUGAUGGCGCUGCUGUCCGAGUAACUGUGAAAAUAUAUAAAUACACGAUGAAUCUAAAGAAAUCAUACGCGAAUUAAUUUUGAUUCGAUAUCAAGUUUUUAAAUUUGCGAAAUUAAAUAAGUAUAUAUAUUUAUUUGUAUACCUAGAAGCUACUUCUUCUUUCUAAUAAAGUUAAUUAUUAAAAUUCUUCUAAAAACUAAAAACUUUCGAUAAAACGAUUCGAUUCUUACGAGUUAAAUAUUUAAGAAGCAAAUUCUAGUUUGAAACAACCGUGUUUCGAGCAUAUUGUAAAUAUUUUAUAAAAGUCAAAAGUGGAAUGUUCACAAGAAAUAAAGUGAAUGGUAGAAACAAUUGAAAAUUUGAAUGCGGCGGUUGAAAAAGACACGCACCCCACGUUAUUCACGAUUAUGCGGUUGCUGCCACGACCUUGACUUUAACGGGGUCGGAUCCGGAGCACUUAACCGCUCUCUCAUUAACGUGGAAGCAGAUGUGAAUGCAAGGCGCAUGCAGCCACGGACUGGUGAAAAUGUGUUCAUAAGUGGAGCGGAAUUCCCCUUUGUUCUUGCCGAAAGGAACGAGGACGAGAGUUGCUUUCUACCUGAAGAAAAAUGACACUGGAGGAACUUAAGCGAAAAAUCAUCCCUCUCGAAAAACGAGCCUAUCCAAAUUCGACCACGAUAUUAAAUCUUGGAACGAGAUGCCUGAGAUUCUAUUUCGUGCAAUGGAUUUAGAGAUUAGGCCGCAGAAUAGCGCAGCUGUGUUGACUACAAAUCUCCACCUG